CAUCGGGUUGAGGGAAAAGGAGCAAUCCGCUUUGAGAUGGCCUCGCGUCCGAUUAGCUAGUUGGUGAGGUAACGGCCCACCAAGGCGACGAUCGGUAGCCGGACUGAGAGGUUGAACGGCCACAUUGGGACUGAGACACGGCCCAGACUCCUACGGGAGGCAGCAGUGGGGAAUAUUGCACAAUGGGGGAAACCCUGAUGCAGCGACGCCGCGUGGAGGAAGAAGGUCUUCGGAUUGUAAACUCCUGUUGUUGAGGAAGAUAAUGACGGUACUCAACAAGGAAGUGACGGCUAACUACGUGCCAGCAGCCGCGGUAAAACGUAGGUCACAAGCGUUGUCCGGAAUUACUGGGUGUAAAGGGAGCGCAGGCGGGAAGACAAGUUGGAAGUGAAAUCCAUGGGCUCAACCCAUGAACUGCUUUCAAAACUGUUUUUCUUGAGUAGUGCAGAGGUAGGCGGAAUUCCCGGUGUAGCGGUGGAAUGCGUAGAUAUCGGGAGGAACACCAGUGGCGAAGGCGGCCUACUGGGCACCAACUGACGCUGAGGCUCGAAAGUGUGGGUAGCAAACAGGAUUAGAUACCCUGGUAGUCCACACUGUAAACGAUGAUUACUAGGUGUUGGAGGAUUGACCCCUUCAGUGCCGCAG
rnacentral:rRNA from 1 species